UCUCCCUCUCCGCAGGUUGACAUGUGAGACGGGUGGGUCCACCCAGGGCAUCACGGCAGGCCCCAUCCAAGUCAAGGUGGACCAGUACAGAGGGACGUCCAAUGCCAACUUUUCAUAUGUUAACUCGGUUAUCCUGAGUGUGAGCCCAACACGUGGUCCCAAGUCCGGGGGCAGCCGGGUGACCAUCACAGGUCAGCACAUGAACGCAGGCAGCACCAUCACAGCUUCAGUUGCAGGACAAGACUGUCAAGUCAUGGAUACAACGUCCACCACUGCCGUAUGCACCACCUCACCCUCCAACAUGCUGACCUCAGGAGGGGUCAGGAUGACCUUCGACAGGGCCAUCAAGGUCAACAACAACAUCCGCUUUGAGUAUGUGGUGGACCCGACAAUCAUCCAGAUCCUUACAGACAAAACAAU